GAAUUGCUAGUAAUCGUAGGUCAGCAUACUACGGUGAAUACGUUCCCGGGCCUUGUACACACCGCCGUCAAACCAUGAGAGUUGGCAACACCCGAAGUCGGUAGUCUAACCGCAAGGAGGACGCCGCCGAAGGUGGGGUUGAUGAUUAGGGUUAAGUCGUAACAAGGUAAC
rnacentral:rRNA from 1 species